rnacentral:rRNA from 1 species
UUGAUGGUGGGGUAAUGGCCUACCAUGGCUUUGAUGGGUACCGGGUGUGAGAGCAUGGCCCGGCUCACUGGGACUGAGACACUGCCCAGACACCUACGGGUGGCUGCAGUCGAGAAUCUUCGGCAAUGGACGCAAGUCUGACCGAGCGACGCCGCGUGCGGGACGGAGGCCUUCGGGUUGUAAACCGCUGUCAGUUAGGAGGAAGGUUCCGUGAAGAGCGGGACUUGACCGAUUUUCAGAGGAAGCGCAGGCUAAGUUCGUGCCAGCAGCCGCGGUAA